rnacentral:rRNA from 1 species
CAGCCGCCGCGGUAAUACGGAGGGUGCAAGCGUUAAUCGGAAUUACUGGGCGUAAAGCGUGCGCAGGCGGUUAUAUAAGACAGUCGUGAAAUCCCCGGGCUCAACCUGGGAACUGCGAUUGUGACUGUAUGGCUAGAGUGUGUCAGAGGGGGGUAGAAUUCCACGUGUAGCAGUGAAAUGCGUAGAUAUGUGGAGGAAUACCGAUGGCGAAGGCAGCCCCCUGGGAUAACACUGACGCUCAUGCACGAAAGCGUGGGGAGCAAACAGGAUUAGAUACCCCAGUAGUCCCUGUCUCUUAUAC